rnacentral:lncRNA from 1 species
GAUUAUUUUUUGUUGGCUAUUUAUUACGGGCUAAAAUAGGUUUAACUUUCUGUCCUUGAUAACAGGUCAGAAGACUUAUAAGUUGAGUUGGGUGAGCCCAAAAGUUGAAUGGGAUCAUGGUCUACAAUAAACUCAUAGCAAAAGACCCUAUAAUAGAUCUAACGAUAAAAUGGGUUGAGUUGGUCGAAACCCGUGAAUAAUUGAGCCCUUAAGUGUGAUGAAUGCACCCUUCCUAUCAGCACGUAUCUUUAGGAUAUAUCGUUGGCUAGCGCUUAUAUUCCACAAGAGAUAUUAAAGUUAGAGAUAAUGAGUUUGAUCCCUAGCUAUAUGUUGCGAAUUUGUAUAGAUGUUGGGGAGAAAAAUUAUUGGUUUAAAGGGAUCAAUAUCUUUCCUAUGGCAGGAGAUCAAGUUCGUUCGAAAUAGCGGGAGGGGCUGAGUCAUAUUUGAAAUGGCAGGAGAUCGAUCGGGUG